rnacentral:rRNA from 1 species
UACGGAGGGGGCUAGCGUUGUUCGGAAUUACUGGGCGUAAAGCGCACGUAGGCGGCUCUGCAAGUUAGAGGUGAAAGCCCGGGGCUCAACUCCGGAAUUGCCUUUAAAACUGCAUCGCUAGAAUUGUGGAGAGGUAAGUGGAAUUCCGAGUGUAGAGGUGAAAUUCGUAGAUAUUCGGAAGAACACCAGUGGCGAAGGCGACUUACUGGACACAUAUUGACGCUGAGGUGCGAAAGCGUGGGGAGCAAACAGG